CCUACGUGGGUCAGCAGUGGGGAAUAUUGGGCAAUGGGCGCAAGCCUGACCCAGCAACGCCGCGUGAAGGAAGAAGGCUUUCGGGUUGUAAACUUCUUUUCUCAGGGACGAAGCAAGUGACGGUACCUGAGGAAUAAGCCACGGCUAACUACGUGCCAGCAGCCGCGGUAAUACGUAGGUGGCAAGCGUUAUCCGGAUUUACUGGGUGUAAAGGGCGGCUAGGCGGGACUGCAAGUCAGAUGUGAAAACCACGGGCUCAACCUGUGGCCUGCAUUUGAAACUGUAGUUCUUGAGUACUGGAGAGGCAGACGGAAUUCCUAGUGUAGCGGUGAAAUGCGUAGAUAUUAGGAGGAACACCAGUGGCGAAGGCGGUCUGCUGGACAGCAACUGACGCUGAGGCGCGAAAGCGUGGGGAGCAAACAGGAUUAGAUACCCGAGUAGUC
rnacentral:rRNA from 1 species